CAGCUGCUUUCCAUGGUGGGCUGCCUUCAGAAAAUGAGCUUAUAUACGGUUUAUUCACAGCUGCAAAAACAUUUUAUUUCCACCACAUUAAGUAAUUAAUGAAACACACAUAAAAAGGUGACUACUGAUAAGACAAACCGGUAACAAUGCAGAGAGUGAACUAAUUUAAGUUUGUCAAACAGUUUUCAGCCCACAGAAAUCACACACACCAUUAAACUAAUGAAAAAGUCGUGCCUUGAUUGUAUGAGCAAAAGAAGUGGUUUGCUUAUGAUACAUGACGAUAAAGAAUCUUUCACUGAAUGUUAUCUUAAAAAGAAAUGUUAUUUCUAACUUUGUUUAUACAUCCUGCAACAGCUUGGAGCCUAUAAGCACCAGCUUCUACCCCGUGUGGAGUAACAUUUAAUAUUAUAACUUCACUUACCAAAGCCAAACUAUUCUUUUGAGACAAAUCUUUUCCCCCUGCACACUUUAUUCUUUUCCUGGGCAAGCAAAAUGUCAGGGCUCCUUCCUCACCCCCGUCCUUCCCACCUGACAUCCCCAAAUACCCCCUUUCCCAUCUCCUCCUUUCUCCUUCUCCUGUUCCUCUCCCUCUCAUGCUCCGGUCUCCCAUCUGCUCCUCUGCCCUGUCUCUCCCUUUACAGCUCGGCGUCUGAGUGGAGUUCAGCUUCCCAGCUGACUCCACUCAGGCAAUCAACCACCUCCACGGCUCCCGGACAGCUGAGGGACAUCACACUGAUUACUCCCCACCACAAUAAGAACCGGCUCAUCCUUCCACUCCCUGCCAGAUUGUUGAACAAAGACCUCACAUUCAGCUGUCCGGGAUCCCCGCCAUCCUCCUUCCCCUCCGGCUCUCCCCAACCCAGUCAUCACCGGUUUCCCCCUCCUGGACCCCCCUGUUCCUGCCUGGACCCCCAUUCCUGCCUGGACCCCCCCGUUCCUGGCCAAAACCCCCCACUACACCAGCCGCUCCCCGCUCCUGCACCUUGGUUUUCCCCCCACCGAGCCACUUUUCACCCCUAACAAUAAAGCACCUUCAUUUCA